AACGAUGUAGUUUAGUAAAAUAUCUACUUUACACGUAGGAGUCUCCUAUAAGGACAUUGUUA
rnacentral:tRNA from 1 species